GGGUCAGUAGCUCAAUUGGUAGAGUAUCUGCCGUUUAAGCAGAAUGUUGCGGGUUCGAGUCCCGUCUGAUCCA
rnacentral:tRNA from 2 species